rnacentral:rRNA from 1 species
AGUGAACGCUGGCGGCGUGCUUAACACAUGCAAGUCGAACGAGAACGGAUCUAGCUUGCUAGAUUGUCAGCUAAGUGGCGCACGGGUGAGUAAGAUAUAGGUAAUAUGCCUUCUACUAAAGAAUAACAAUUAGAAAUGAUUGCUAAUGCUUUAUAUGCCUUUUAAUCAUAAGAUUGUAAAGGGAAAGAUUUAUCGGUAGAAGAUUGGCCUGUAUAGUAUCAGUUAGUUGGUAAGGUAAUGGCUUACCAAGACAAUGACGCUUAACUGGUUUGAGAGGAUGAUCAGUCACACUGGAACUGAGACACGGUCCAGACUCCUACGGGAGGCAGCAGUGGGGAAUAUUGCACAAUGGACGAAAGUCUGAUGCAGCAACGCCGCGUGGAGGAUGACACAUUUCGGUGCGUAAACUCCUUUUAUAUAGGAAGAUAAUGACGGUACUAUAUGAAUAAGCACCGGCUAACUCCGUGCCAGCAGCCGCGGUAAUACGGAGGGUGCAAGCGUUACUCGGAAUCACUGGGCGUAAAGAGCGUGUAGGCGGAUAAAUAAGUCAGAAGUGAAAUCCUAUAGCUUAACUAUAGAACUGCUUUUGAAACUGUAUAUCUAGAAUAUGGGAGAGGUAGAUGGAAUUUCUGGUGUAGGGGUAAAAUCCGUAGAGAUCAGAAGGAAUACCGAUUGCGAAGGCGAUCUACUGGAACAUUAUUGACGCUGAGACGCGAAAGCGUGGGGAGCAAACAGG